rnacentral:rRNA from 1 species
UACGUAGUGUGCGGGCGUUGUCCGGAAUUAUUGGGCGUAAAGAGCUCGUAGGCGGCCUGUCGCGUCGGAUGUGAAAGCCCGGGGCUCAACCCCGGGUCGGCCGUGCGAACUGUCGAGCUGGAGCACUGUAGAGGCAGGUGGAAUUCCGGGUGUAGCGGUGGAAUGCGUAGAGAUCCGGAAGAACACCGGUGGCGAAGGCGGCCUGCUGGGCAGUGGCUGACGCUGAGGCGCGACAGCGUGGGGAGCAAACAGG